rnacentral:rRNA from 1 species
UACGAAGGGGGCUAGCGUUGCUCGGAAUCACUGGGCGUAAAGGGUGCGUAGGCGGGUCUUUAAGUCAGGGGUGAAAUCCUGGAGCUCAACUCCAGAACUGCCUUUGAUACUGAAGAUCUUGAGUUCGGGAGAGGUGAGUGGAACUGCGAGUGUAGAGGUGAAAUUCGUAGAUAUUCGUAAGAACACCAGUGGCGAAGGCGGCUCACUGGCCCGAUACUGACGCUGAGGCGCGAAAGCCAGGGGAGCGAACGGG